rnacentral:rRNA from 1 species
AUUGAACGCUGGCGGCAUGCCUUACACAUGCAAGUCGAACGGCAGCACGGGUGCUUGCCCCUGGUGGCGAGUGGCGAACGGGUGAGUAAUACAUCGGAACAUGUCCUGUAGUGGGGGAUAGCCCGGCGAAAGCCGGAUUAAUACCGCAUACGAUCUACGGAUGAAAGCGGGGGACCUUCGGGCCUCGCGCUAUCGGGUUGGCCGAUGGCUGAUUAGCUAGUUGGUGGUGUAAAGGCCUACCAAGGCGACGAUCAGUAGCUGGUCUGAGAGGACGACCAGCCACACUGGGACUGAGACACGGCCCAGACUCCUACGGGAGGCAGCAGUGGGGAAUUUUGGACAAUGGGCGAAAGCCUGAUCCAGCAAUGCCGCGUGUGUGAAGAAGGCCUUCGGGUUGUAAAGCACUUUUGUCCGGAAAGAAAUCCUUGGCCCUAAUACGGUCGGGGGAUGACGGUACCGGAAGAAUAAGCACCGGCUAACUACGUG